AUCGGUGAACAGAAUAAAUAUUAGCGACGAUGGACAAGCUGUGGAGUCACCUACACUAGAUGAGGUUAAAAAACUGUUAAAGAGCAGUGAGCAGCUUUAUGAAGUUCUGCACCAUUGUUGCGUACACCCUAACUGGUACGCGGCACCUACAUUGAAACUUUGCUUUGUUAUAGUGAAGUUGACUGCGAUACUCGUCACAAAUGUCAUAUAAACGUCGAUCAGAAAGAGUGGCUGUCAAACGAUGACUAGCUAUUUUGAUUGAAAUACUGUUGUAGCUAUAUUCCAUAGAGGUUCUAUUAUAGAGUAUGUAAUUGGAUAUAAUUAGCUCUCGGCAUUAUACUUAUGUGCUUUCUGUUCCCGAAUAGUUACUUAUUUAUAAAUUUGCGUGAUUAGAAGUACAUGCAACGGCUUUAAUAGUAGCUCGUAAAUAGUAGUAUUUUGGCUGCUUAUUUUCACUAUUGAAACCUGUAGAUCCAUUCCCAACGGAAUUAGGAAAGCUUACAAACGAAAAUUUUAAUCGCUGCGCUUAUCGCUGCGACAAUAAACAAUGAUUAAAAUUACGGAACCGCGUUUUCCUCUCGUUGCAUUCGCAACAACCAUAUUAUGUCAAAAAUAUAAGAAGACGAGGAAAUGCCUGCUGGCUGGUUGGACGGCCUCAUUUGCCCUCUCUUUAAGAAAGGGCACAGACUGGAGUGCGCCAAUUACCGAGGAAUAACCUCCUUAAUUCGGCGUACAAAAUUAUGUCACGUAUUCUGUUCCUCUUACCCCGUGACCAUCGUGAUCGACACACCGUCUCGUGCGGUGGCAUAGUGCGCGCUCUCGGAAUACGACAGGUAUUUCCCCCUGUAAUUCGCGGCCGCCGCGUUUCAAACGUUCACGAACAAGUGUAUACAGUGCUACAA